rnacentral:rRNA from 1 species
GUGCCAGCAGCCGCGGUAAAACGUAGGACGCGAGCGUUAUCCGGAGUUACUGGGCGUAAAGGGCGGGUAGGCGGCUUGUCAAGUUGGAUGUGAAAUCUCCCGGCUAAACUGGGAGGGGGCAUUCGAAACUGACAAGCUGGAGGACAGCAGAGGGUCGCGGAAUUCCGGGUGGAGUGGUGAAAUGCGUAGAGAUCCGGAGGAACACCAGAGGCGAAAGCGGCGACCUGGGCUGUAACUGACGCUGAACCGCGAAAGCCAGGGGAGCGAACGGGAUUAGAAACCCUUGUAGUCC